CGCGUAGGCGGCCGAUUAAGUCUGGAGUGAAAGUCCUGUUUUCAAGGCGGGAAUUGCUUUGGAGACUGGUUGGCUUGAGUGCGGAAGAGGCAAGUGGAAUUCCCAGUGUAGCGGUGAAAUGCGUAGAGAUUGGGAGGAACACCAGUGGCGAAGGCGACUUGCUGGGCCGUAACUGACGCUGAAGCGCGAAAGCGUGGGGAGCGAACA
rnacentral:rRNA from 1 species